GGGUCAGUAGGUUGGUCGUGCCACCGGUACGUACUGGUCUCACUGAUUCCUCCUUCCUGAAGAACCGUAAUGCCAUUAAUUUGGUGUUGCGGGGAAACAGGACUGUUACUUUGCAAAAAUUAGAGUGUUUAAAGCAAGCUAACGCUUGAAUACAUUAGCAUGGAAUAAUGAAAUAGGACGAUCGAUCCUAUUUUGUUGGUUUCUAGGAUUGACGUA
rnacentral:rRNA from 1 species